rnacentral:misc_RNA from 1 species
GUUUUCACCUUUUGGUCAAUCUUUGAUUUCGAGAAACUGGCAGAGGAGCUGGUCCAGAUGUUUGUGUCAGAAACAAAUCUAAAGCGGUUGCUAGUGAUGGAACUAUGCUCCAUUGGUUCCGAGAAUUUUUCACAAGUUGACAGGCUAAAAUGGAGUGAUCAUUUCUAUGUUGGAGAGUUUGAUGAUCUACGCAUAUGUGACUCAAACUCAAACGAGGUUCUUAAGCAACUCGAGCCCAAGGUAGAGAGCUGCAAUUCUCAGUCUACCACCAUGCAAUCAAAUAGUCAACUUGAGAG